GCCCGUCACAGGGGGAUAAUCCGGAGAAAUCCGGUCUAAUACCGCAUAAUAUCGUGAAUCUGCAUGGAUUUGCGAUUAAAGGAGCGAUCCGGUGACGGAUGGGCAUGCGUGACAUUAGCUAGUCGGCGGGGUAACGGCCCACCGAGGCGACGAUGUCUAGGGGUUCUGAGAGGAAGGUCCCCCACACUGGUACUGAGACACGGACCAGACUCCUACGGGAGGCAGCAGUGAGGAAUAUUGGUCAAUGGGCUAAGGCCUGAACCAGCCAAGUCGCGUGAGGGAAGACGGUCCUAUGGAUUGUAAACCUCUUUUGUCGGGGAGCAACGAGGCCACGUGUGGCCGAAGUGAGAGUACCCGAAGAAAAAGCAUCGGCUAACUCCGUGCCAGCAGCCGCGGUAAUACGGAGGAUGCGAGCGUUAUCCGGAUUUAUUGGGUUUAAAGGGUGCGUAGGCGGAACAUUAAGUCAGCGGUAAAAUCGAGGGGCUCAACCCCUUUAAGCCGUUGAAACUGGUGAUCUUGAGUGGGCGAGAAGUAUGCGGAAUGCGUGGUGUAGCGGUGAAAUGCAUAGAUAUCACGCAGAACUCCGAUUGCGAAGGCAGCAUACCGGCGCCCGACUGACGCUGAGGCACGAAAGCGUGGGGAUCGAACAGGAUUAGAUACCCUGGUAGUCCACGCAGUAAACGAUGAAUACUAACUGUCCGGGUCGAGCGAGAUCUGGGUGGUAAAGCGAAAGCGUUAAG
rnacentral:rRNA from 1 species